rnacentral:lncRNA from 1 species
CCCUGACCAGCACUAGUCUGGCCAUUUGCUAAGGGCAGGUCACUUCAGAUCUGGAAUGGAAUGUUAUCAUGCUUAGGUGAAGUUUGUUCUUGCUCACUGACUGAGUUUCUGGAGAGGACACCUUGGAAGAUUCUUGCCAUAGGCUUUACCUGACACACAGACUUUCACUCCAUGGACUAUUCCUGUUCUUGCUCCAUACUCACCGAGGUCUGAGGAAAGAAACCUCCCAGUGAGGAAAGAUCCUGAAUCUCUAAGGUUUAUGAGUGGCUACAUCAGUGUCCUAGAAGUCCUGUAUCUAGAAUGAUGUCUACAGCACUGGCUGGCACAGAGUUCUAUUCUUAUGCCAUGCAAUACUGAGGUUUGGGCUCUAGGUGAGUCUCACCAUAUCUGGGCUGGGUAGUUAGCACAAACUGGAACUGGAGCAUGUCUUUCACCUUCAGAUCCUAUCAGAGCUGUUACAGGAAACCCACUACCCCUGGAUCCU